rnacentral:tRNA from 1 species
GUUCCUGUAGUUCAACAACGAUGGCUUUUUAGGCCACCAAUCCCGGUUAAAGUCCUGGCAAGAGUU